rnacentral:rRNA from 1 species
CGGCAUGCCUAAUACAUGCAAGUCGAACGCUGAAGCACUCUGCUUGCAGAGUGCGGAUGAGUGGCGGAUGGGUGAGUAACACGUGGGGAACCUGCCCCUAAGUCUGGGAUACCAUUUGGAAACAGGUGCUAAUACCGGAUAAUAAAGCAGAUCGCAUGAUCAGCUUUUGAAAGGCGGCGUAAGCUGUCGCUAAGGGAUGGCCCCGCGGUGCAUUAGCUAGUUGGUAAGGUAACGGCUUACCAAGGCGACGAUGCAUAGCCGAGUUGAGAGACUGAUCGGCCACAUUGGGACUGAGACACGGCCCAAACUCCUACGGGAGGCAGCAGUAGGGAAUCUUCCACAAUGGACGCAAGUCUGAUGGAGCAACGCCGCGUGAGUGAAGAAGGUUUUCGGAUCGUAAAGCUCUGUUGUUGGUGAAGAAGGAUAGAGGUAGUAACUGGCCUUUAUUUGACGGUAAUCAACCAGAAAGUCACGGCUAACUACGUG